GAGACAGCAGUAGCCAGCGGUAAUACGAAGGGUGCAAGCGUUACUCGGAAUUACUGGGCGUAAAGCGUGCGUAGGUGGUGGUUUAAGUCCGUUGUGAAAGCCCUGGGCUCAACCUGGGAAUUGCAGUGGAUACUGGGUCACUAGAGUGUGGUAGAGGAUAGUGGAAUUUCCGGUGUAGCAGUGAAAUGCGUAGAGAUCGGAAGGAACAUCUGUGGCGAAGGCGACUAUCUGGGCCAACACUGACACUGAGGCACGAAAGCGUGGGGAGCAAACAGGAUUAGAUACCCCUGUAGUCCCUGUCUCUUAUA
rnacentral:rRNA from 1 species